GGGAAUUAGGUCAAAGUAUGGCUAUUGGGAUUAACCUGAAGAAGCUCUCUCCUCUCGAACGCUAACGGCGACGGCGGUAGCCUUCCCCUUCCCCGAUCGAUUGCGCCGCUGCGACAAUACCAUAGCACAACGAAACACAAAUUCGCCUCUCACCUCACACUAGACCGAUCAUCCUUCACUCUCUCCGAAUCAAGCUCUCGUCACGUCUUCCUCGCUCCGAUUUCCGACCGGAGGUUAUUCAAUUCGACGGCAACGAUAAAGAACCAGAGAAAUCCAGGUUCAAGAUUGUUGUGAGUUGAAACUGAUUGAUGAAGAUUGAGGUUAUUGAAGUUUUGUUGAAGCUUGAAGCGUGGUUGAUGAUGAUGA